rnacentral:misc_RNA from 1 species
GAAAUGCGAUAAGUAAUGUGAAUUGCAGAAUUCAGUGAAUCAUCGAAUCUUUGAACGCACAUUGCGCCCGCCAGUAUUCUGGCGGGCAUGCCUGUUCGAGCGUCAUUUCAACCAUCAAGCCCCCGGCUUGUGUUGGGGACCUGCGGCUGCCCGCAGGCCCUGAAAAACAGUGGCGGGCUCGCUGUCACACCGAGCGUAGUAGCAUACAUUCUCGCUCAGGGCGUGCUGCGGGUUCCGGCCGUUAAACGACCUUCAUAACCCAAGGUUGACCUCGGAUCAGGUAGGAAGACCCGCCGAACUUAAGC